UCCUAAUCAAUUUUGGGCUAGCGAGAAUUAUUCAGAGAGCAUAUCAAUGGAGACAAAUUUUACACCUUUUCCGAACCCUAAUCUUAAACCCCUGCGAUUCUGUUCAAUCCAUUACAAAGGCGAUUUUGGUGAAGUUCGAGCUGCAAUGGCGCAUAAUAUUGCACGCAAGAAGUGGAGUGCAUGCAGGAUUCACUUAAACAAGAGAAGCCACUGUUUGUGUAUCUAAAGAGGCUAGCAAAUUGCAGUUACAACCUAUAAGUUGCUUUAGGUAUGACCAUACUCUCAUAAGUGCGAAAAGUGAAUAUGUAUACAUUAGUAACUUUAUGAUUUGUUAUUAAUGUUAUUAUGAGUUCAGACUUUAAUGUGUCCACUAGUAUUACUGUUGAACUUGUUGGAUAAGUGCUUCAUCUAGAAGCUUAGAGGAGUAUGAUUUUUAAUUGCUUUUCUACAACAUCCCUAAAUUUUUCCAGUUGAUCAAGUCUGACAAUCUGACAUGUUGAUGGGUUUUUUCUUACAUGGACAUAGUUUUAGUCAAGUAAAGGAACACUAUUUUUUCAACAAUGAUUGUUGGAAAAGAAAUCACUGUUUGUGAGAAAAGCUGCAAUUUGACAGGAGUUUCAAUUAUUUAAACUCAAGACGUCAAUUUACGAUUUGGAUGUUUUUCAACAUCCCCCAAUUGUCAGCAUAGAUUUACAGGUUUUGGGCUUUCAACGUAGAUAACGAAUGUCUCCCACAAGCCUUUUUCAUUGAUGUCUGGACAUUCAACUAUAGAUUGAUGUUCUAAUUGAAAGACCAUGCUGAAAUAUCAAUCAUCUCCAAAAAAUCAUUGUUUUUGCCAAUUGCCAUAAUUUGUGUUCCAACGAAAGGUUCUUUUUAUUUGUUGGAAACUAUGUCCUUUAGGGAAAAUUUGACAUGUCGAACUUGAACAGUUAGAAAUCUUAAUAAACUAACAAAUCGAAAAGUGGUGGUGUCUUAAUAUUAUUGUCUAAUUUGCAAUUUUGUUCAAAUGUUGUACAAUCUUUAAAGCAAUUCGCUCUACUUCUUUAUAUUUACAAUAUAACCGCCUCCCUCCUUUAGAGUGCGCACAAGCAAGCAAUAAAAUUACUAUUAGUUCAAGUAAUGUACAUGUACUUUGUGAUAAACAAUUGUGAUAGACUGAUAGGGAUUUGAAAUAGGACCUUUUGUUUGACUUAACUUUGUUACUAUGUUGAAUGUCCAUGAUAAAAACCUGUUAGCUUUUGAAUGAUUAUCAUUUAUUAUUUGAAUAUCAUGAACAGCAAUUAAUGUUCUUUUCUUUUAUUUAUGUUUGGUAUUCUGAUGUUGCUUGAAGUUGUAGAUUUAAAGCACACUAUAUUUAAGUUUGUAACAUCGAUUCUAAAAAUCUAAGUCAGAUUUUCAAUUGGAGUCGAGCUUUUGUGAUUAUGAAAUAUAACUAGGGAUUUAAGAUAUACUUCACAAGUCACGCUGUAAUGUGUUUGGUACUUAAUCCAUUUUAUCUGAUUCUCCUGUUUGCUAUGGACAUCAACAUAUUCAGGAACCAAACUCCAAUUUAUUCAGUUGUUAAUUUCCUUCAUUUUCAUGAUGCAUGUGUUUUUUUGAUUAUAUAGGGUGGAAAGAGCUGCAAAGAAAGUGAGGUAAGCAGCCGCAGUAUAACGUAAUAUAUUUUGAAAUUUUAAAUUAAUUACUGUAGAUUUUGGACUUCGUAAUGCCAAAUGUUCUCAUGUAAUCUUUAGCAUGAGCUGAUUGAAUAAGAUCAACUGGUAAAUCAAUGGAUUUCAAUGGCUCAUGUCCUAUUUUAGAGCUCUUAAAUUUUGAACUCCUAAAAUGUAGGUGCUGUAGAGAAUUUUGCUCUUUCAUAUCAUAUGUAUACCUUGAUUUCAUAAUUUGCAUCCCAUUUACAUAGUUUAGGCUGGUUCUUUGUGGAAAGAUGUGGGAGGGAAAAAGUUGUUCUAAGAGGUCUUUUAGAAUGAAGAUAAUGUUCUAUUAGGCCAUUUUUUGUUAAAAAUCAUUAAAUUAGUAGUAGUUAAUAAUACAGUGAAAAUCAUGGCCGGGGUAUUUCAGCAUUUUGGCAAUUACUAGAUAAACCAAAUCUUUGAAAUAAAAAUUAUGUAGACACUUUUUGCUUCAUCAUUCGGUUUGUUAGAUAUAAACAUUCCUAACACCAAUGAACUUGAUGUAGAAAAGAGAUUUGAAUUUUAACUGAUCUUGUGUUGCUAUUAUUUGGAAACUACUAUUGUGCUAAUGUCUACAAUCAGGCUUCAUAUUCUAUUUUGGUGUGGCCUAAUUGUCCGAGUUCUCAUUUAACGCAAAACGGUAAGUAUUGCAUAAUCAUUAAGUCGGAGUUCUUAUAAUUGAUAUAUGGUUUAUUAAUUACACAAUUAUGAUUUAAUUUGAGUUGAUGCAUAGGAUAGGAGUGUGCCUCCUUUAAUUACAUGAAAUGGGAUGGACUGGUAAUGAUCUACAGGUAUUAAAUUACUCAUAGUAAUAUUGGGGUUGUUUUAAUGUUUAUUAAGCAUAACUGGCAGAUGUAGAAGGCAUAUUUGUGUUAUUUAUAUACCUGCCUAAUGCAUUAAUUUACAGGGUGGAGCCUUUCAAACUUUACUAUUAUGGUGUGCUAAAAAUGGGAUUUUUUUUAAUUUCUAAAACAUAUGGAGUCUCAAUAUCUGUUUAUACUUUGGCUUUGGAAUUUCACUUUUUUCUUAUGCCUAUGGUCUUAAUGUUCUAUAUGAGAUACGCUUUGUUAUUAUUGCUAUUGCUAUUGCUAUUGCUAUUAUUUGAAUAUGUAGGAUAUUUUUAAUAUGAUUUAAACUACUCGAAUAUUAUGAUUUAUUGAUUAUUUUAA